rnacentral:rRNA from 1 species
CCUACGGGUGGCAGCAGUGAGGAAUAUUGGUCAAUGGACGAGAGUCUGAACCAGCCAAGUAGCGUGAAGGAUGACUGCCCUAUGGGUUGUAAACUUCUUUUAUAUGGGAAUAAAGUGAGGCACGUGUGCCUUUUUGUAUGUACUUUAUGAAUAAGGAUCGGCUAACUCCGUGCCAGCAGCCGCGGUAAUACGGAGGAUCCGAGCGUUAUCCGGAUUUAUUUGGUUUAAAGGGAGCGUAGAUGGGUUGUUAAGUCAGUUGUGAAAGUUUGCGGCUCAACCGUAAAAUUGCAAUUGAUACUGGCAGUCUUGAGUACAGUUGAGGUAGGCGGAAUUCGUGGUGUAGCGGUGAAAUGCUUAGAUAUCACGAAGAACUCCGAUUGCGAAGGCAGCUUACUAAACUGCCACUGACAUUGAUGCUCGAAAGUGUGGGUAUCAAACAGGAUUAGAUACCCCUGUAGUC